GGUGCUGCAUGGCUGUCGUCAGCUCGUGUCGUGAGAUGUUGGGUUAAGUCCCGCAACGAGCGCAACCCUCGUCCUUAGUUGCCAUCAUUAAGUUGGGCACUUUAAGGAAACUGCCGGUGAUAAGCCGGAGGAAGGUGGGGAUGACGUCAAGUCCUCAUGGCCCUUACAGGCUGGGCUACACACGUGCUACAAUGGCAUCUACAGUGGGCAGCUAUUCCGCAAGGAUGCGCUAAUCUCCAAAAGAUGUCUCAGUUCGGAUUGUCCUCUGCAACUCGAGGGCAUGAAGGCGGAAUCGCUAGUAAUCGCGGAUCAGCAUGCCGCCGGUGAACUACGUUCCCAGGCCUU
rnacentral:rRNA from 1 species